CAUAGUACUAAGAUACUAAUAACUGGAAAAACUUGAAAAAUGGUUUGUGAUUUAGUGUGUAUAUGUUCAUUAUUAGGCCAAUGUGCAAAAAGAUAUUUUAUUGAUUGAUUUUUGUGGGAGGAUUGGUUAUCUUAGUCUAUCAAUCCAUGAAUUUAAGGUGAUUAACUUGGUAAUAGCACAAAAUCAGUAUGAUCAAAUAAAGGAUGGCUAUGUAUUAAUGUUGAAAAAUGUAAUUAAGCAAAUAUGUGUGAAUGAGGUAAUAUGUUGACUACAUUGUCAAUGAGAAAAUUCAGGUGUUUAUCAAUUUUAAUGAUCAUUCUUGAUUUAUAAUAAAGCUUUUCUCACUUAUGUGCCUAUAUAUUAAUUUCAAAAGGGCAUGCAAACCUCGUUAGAAUCAUUCAAUCAGACUACUGGAGUUUUCUCGAAAAGUAGAAACAACAUCAAAUACAUGCAGUAUAUUAGCCAGCUUUCCCAUGUUAAAUUCCAUCUCUAACCAUCAAAACAGAAACCAUAAUGAUUUUGCAGACAUAGCUAGUGCUCUGGAGCAGUAGGUGAAAAGCAGGAGAUUGAAAGAUAGUUUCUGGACUAAUUUUAGUUUUGAAGGGGAUCAAAAUUGUGCAAUUAAAUUCACUGGAAGAUUUGUUUUUCCUGAGUAGGAAGAAGGUAAUAAAGCGAGACCGCUUGUCUGAUUGAACUUAAGUUGUUCAUUUUACACCUCCAAGGUGAAAUAGAUAUCCAGUCACUGCUACUUGCUUAUUGGCAAGAUAAUGGAGCUAAGUUUCAUUUUUAUUUCAGCAAAUGUUUAUUGAGUACCAACUAUGUGUCAAGCAUUCUAUUAGGUCCUGACUAGUGCUGAACAAAGCAGACAUGAUUCAUGCCUUCACGGAGUUUGUAGUCUAGGAGAGGAAAUAGAAGUUAAAUAAAUAUACACAUAAAUAUACAAUUAAAAUUGUGAUAUGUGCUAUGUAUUAGGAGAAAGAACAGAAUGCUAUGUGAGAACAUAAUGGGGCAAACCCAAUUUA